rnacentral:rRNA from 1 species
GAAAUACCACCCUUGUAUGUUUGAUGUUCUAACGUUGGCCCCUAAUCGGGGUUGCGGACAGUGCCUGGUGGGUAGUUUGACUGGGGCGGUCUCCUCCCAAAGAGUAACGGAGGAGCACGAAGGUGGGCUAAUCACGGUUGGACAUCGUGAGGUUAGUGCAAUGGCAUAAGCCCGCUUAACUGCGAGAAUGACGGUUCGAGCAGGUGCGAAAGCAGGUCAUAGUGAUCCGGUGGUUCUGAAUGGAAGGGCCAUCGCUCAACGGAUAAAAGGUACUCCGGGGAUAACAGGCUGAUACCGCCCAAGAGUUCAUAUCGACGGCGGUGUUUGGCACCUCGAUGUCGGCUCAUCACAUCCUGGGGCUGAAGUCGGUCCCAAGGGUAUGGCUGUUCGCCAUUUAAAGUGGUACGCGAGCUGGGUUUAGAACGUCGUGAGACAGUUCGGUCCCUAUCUGCCGUGGGCGUUGGAAGAUUGAAGGGGGCUGCUCCUAGUACGAGAGGACCGGAGUGGACGAACCUCUGGUGUUCGGGUUGUGUCGCCAGACGCAUUGCCCGGUAGCUAAGUUCGGAAUCGAUAACCGCUGAAAGCAUCUAAGCGGGAAGCGAGCCCUGAGAUGAGUCUU